GAAGGGGGCUAGCGUUGCUCGGAAUCACUGGGCGUAAAGGGCGCGUAGGCGGCGUUUUAAGUCGGGGGUGAAAGCCUGUGGCUCAACCACAGAAUGGCCUUCGAUACUGGGACGCUUGAGUAUGGUAGAGGUUGGUGGAACUGCGAGUGUAGAGGUGAAAUUCGUAGAUAUUCGCAAGAACACCGGUGGCGAAGGCGGCCAACUGGACCAUUACUGACGCUGAGGCGCGAAAGCGUGGGGAGCAAACAGGGAUUAGAUACCCUGGUAGUCCACGCCGUAAACGAUGAAUGCCCAGCUGUUGGGGGUGCUUGCACCGCAGUAGCGCAGCUAACGCUUUGAGCAUUCCCGCCUGGGGAGUACGGUCGCAAGAUUA
rnacentral:rRNA from 1 species